rnacentral:lncRNA from 1 species
GAUUGCUCAAGGUUUGUGGCAGCUUUUCUUGUGCCUUUCGCAAUUCUUGUGAAUGGGGUAGCAGUUCUCGGACUGUCCAGAACGUCCUCACGCCACAGCGGCCAUACCACGCCCUGGCAAUGACUAGUCCCAAGCCCAGUCGACCUUUAAACACGAUGGAUAGUUCAAGUUCUGAUUCUGGUUAGCAUGUACAACUGUGUUUCUAUGUCAUAAUCCCUUCAUCAUUUUGCUUUUCUUAUUUCUCAACAGAGAUACGGUAAAUGAAGCAAGGAACACUUUGAUAUUAUGUACAUCAGAGAGUACCUUGUUGCUAUGUGAGAAGGGAGAGUUUUGCUACUUCGUUGCAUUCUAAAACUAGAAUCAAGAGUCAUAUAUAUGCAGAAAAAAAAAAUGUUGAUUAGCUAAAACCUCCACUAUACUUUUAUGUUUCUUAUAAUUGAAAAAUUUGGAUUGGGAUAA